rnacentral:rRNA from 1 species
UACGGAGGGAGCUAGCGUUGUUCGGAAUUACUGGGCGUAAAGCGCACGUAGGCGGCUUUGUAAGUUAGAGGUGAAAGCCCGGGGCUCAACCCGGAAUUGCCUUUAAGACUGCAUCGCUUGAAUCGUGGAGAGGUGAGUGGAAUUCCGAGUGUAGAGGUGAAAUUCGUAGAUAUUCGGAAGAACACCAGUGGCGAAGGGCGGCUCAC